UACAGUGAUAAGUUAACUUCCUUAAGAAAAUUAUAGAGCCCUGCUAUGGUUCAUGCAUUCCCUUUCACAUUUAUUACUUGACUCUGCAGUAAAGUUAAUCAGCCAACUAUAGUAUAACAGGUCAAUUAUUUCCACUAGUAUUCAACUUAGUGCAACAAAUUAACUAUUGUUUCCUUGUUUUAUCUGGUUUUUCUUGGCAGCUUGGUCUCUUUGUGGGAUAGAGAGAAAGAAAGAGAUAAAAGAGAUGAGCAUUAUUUAUUUAAAAUUUGUGGAGUAGAACUGAUUUUUUUUGAAAUCAUGGCAUCUCACUCCCCUUUACACCAUUGCAAACUGGAACUUUAUAUGUACUGAUGCUGAGUGUUAUACUUUUGUGUUUGUGUAUCUUAUUUUCUUUUCGGUUCCCUUUACACCAUUGCAAACUGGAACUUUAUAUGACAUGUCGUCUGAAUUUUAAUUAAAAGACUUGCUUUAUUCUUGAUCAUACAUUACUGUCAUCACAUACUCGCUUUGUUCUAUAGAAAUUUAUUGACCGAUUUCUUUUGCUAUUAUCGGUUCCAGGACAUGAGUAUGCUAAAAUCGGGGCUGAUAUUGAAGAAAGAGCUGGAUGAAAAGCUUGAACAGAAGUUUCAAGACAUGGUGAAAAAAUUGGCAGAGUCGAAUCCGGGUUUGAAGAUCAACCUCGAUGAGUCCGACAAGUCGACAGAUUCAGAAGUAGAUGCUGAGUCUCUUGAGACUGAUCAGUAGUUAUGAUUGUCACAAUUCUACUCUCUUUUGGUUAAAAUUAACUCGGUUAACUCUAGUAAUUAACUCUUGAUUAUGAUGUAUUUAGUUUUAUGCACCAGUACUUGUUGUGCUGUAGUUGCUGGUUGGUAUAGCUAGGGUUGGACCUCUGUUUUUGGUACUUAUUGGAAUUGUGUUUGUUGUUGGAUAUUGGUUGGUAAAUUUGAAAUGGGAAGUGCUAUUUUCA
rnacentral:lncRNA from 1 species